GACGAACGCUGGCGGCGUGCUUAACACAUGCAAGUCGAGCGGUAAGGCCCUUUCGGGGGUACACGAGCGGCGAACGGGUGAGUAACACGUGGGUGACCUGCCCUUAGCUCUGGGAUAAGCCUGGGAAACUGGGUCUAAUACCGGAUAUGACUCCAUGACGCAUGUUGUGGGGUGGAAAGCCUUGUGCGGCUAGGGAUGGGCCCGCGGCCUAUCAGCUUGUUGGUGGGGUGAUGGCCUACCAAGGCGACGACGGGUAGCCGGCCUGAGAGGGCGACCGGCCACACUGGGACUGAGACACGGCCCAGACUCCUACGGGAGGCAGCAGUGGGGAAUCUUGCGCAAUGGGCGUAAAGCCUGACGCAGCGACGCCGCGUGAGGGAUGACGGCCUCGG
rnacentral:rRNA from 1 species